CGACGCGCGUGGGCGAUGAAGCCCUUCGGGGGUGUAAAGCUCUUUCGACGGGAACGAUAAUGACGGUACCCGGAGAAGAAGCUGCGGCUAACUACGUGC
rnacentral:rRNA from 1 species